rnacentral:rRNA from 1 species
GUCCACGCCGUAAACGAUGGGCAUUAGGUGUGGGAGGUGUCGACUCCUCCCGUGCCGUCGCUAACGCAUUAAAUGCCCCGCCUGGGGAGUACGGCCGCAAGGCUAAAACUCAAAGGAAUUGACGGGGGCCCGCACAAGCAGCGGAGCAUGUGGUUUAAUUCGACGCAACGCGAAGAACCUUACCUGGGUUUGACAUGUUCGUGACCGGUGUGGAAACACACCUUUCCUUCGGGACACGAUCACAGGUGGUGCAUGGCUGUCGU